rnacentral:rRNA from 1 species
UAGGAGGCAAGCGUUAUCCGGAAUGACUGGGCGUAAAGGGUGCGUAGGUGGUUUAGCAAGUUAGUAGCGUAAUUCCGGGGCUCAACUCCGGAACUACUACUAAAACUGUUGGACUUGAGUGCAGGAGGGGCAACUGGAAUUUCUAGUGUAGCGGUGGAAUGCGUAGAUAUUAGGAAGAACACCGGUGGCGAAGGCGAGUUGCUGGACUGUAACUGACACUGAGGCACGAAAGCGUGGGGAGCAAA